AUUGAACGCUGGCGGCAUGCCUUACACAUGCAAGUCGAACGGCAGCGGGGGAGAAGCUUGCUUUUCCUGCCGGCGAGUGGCGAACGGGUGAGUAAUACAUCGGAACGUGCCCUGUAGUGGGGGGUAACUAGUCGAAAGAUUAGCUAAUACCGCAUACGACCUGAGGGUGAAAGUGGGGGACCGCAAGGCCUCAUGCUAUAGGAGCGGCCGAUGUCUGAUUAGCUAGUUGGUGGGGUAAAGGCCUACCAAGGCGACGAUCAGUAGCUGGUCUGGGAGGACGAUCAGCCACACUGGGACUGAGACACGGCCCAGACUCCUACGGGAGGCAGCAGUGGGGAAUUUUGGACAAUGGGCGAAAGCCUGAUCCAGCAAUGCCGCGUGUGUGAAGAAGGCCUUCGGGUUGUAAAGCACUUUUGUCCGGAAAGAAAUGGCUCUGGUUAAUGCCUGGGGUCGAUGACGGUACCGGAAGAAUAAGGACCGGCUAACUACGUGCCAGCCGCCGCCGUAA
rnacentral:rRNA from 1 species